GCGCAGGAAAAGAAACCAACAGGGAUUGCCCUAGUAACGGCGAGUGAAGCGGCAACAGCUCAAAUUUGAAAUCUGGUCCUUCGGGGCCCGAGUUGUAAUUUGCAGAGGAUGCUUUUGGCGCGGUGCCUUCCGAGUGCCCUGGAACGGGACGCCACAGAGGGUGAGAGCCCCGUAUGGUUGGACACCAAGCCUAUGUAAAGCUCCUUCGACGAGUCGAGUAGUUUGGGAAUGCUGCUCAAAAUGGGAGGUAAACCCCUUCUAAAGCUAAAUACUGGCCAGAGACCGAUAGCGCACAAGUAGAGUGAUCGAAAGAUGAAAAGCACUUUGAAAAGAGAGUUAAAAAGCACGUGAAAUUGUUGAAAGGGAAGCGUUUGCGACCAGACUUGCGCCCGUCGAAUCAACCGUCCCUCGUGGGCGGCGCACUUCGGCGGGCUCAGGCCAGCAUCAGUUUACUGUAGGGGGAGAAAGGCGCUGGGAAUGUGGCUCCUCGGAGUGUUAUAGCCCGGCGUGUAAUACCCCUCGGUGGACUGAGGACCGCGCGAAAGCAAGGAUGCUGGCGUAAUGGUCGUCAGCGACCCGUCUUGAAAGACGGACCAAGGAGUCAUCCUACUAUGCAAGUGUGUGGGUGUCAGACCCAAGCUCGUAAUGAAUGUGUGCGGCUGCAAGCGCUUCUUCCCGGGCAAUACCGGUCGGAUUUUUUUCGUGCGUUUGAUCUCAACAGCCGCCGGGUGCAGAGCUCGCUUGGCAAGGCGUGUUAUUAUCUAUCGCCGGGGAGGAUUACCCUCGCGAUAA
rnacentral:rRNA from 1 species